GUGGGGAAUAUUGGACAAUGGGGGGAACCCUGAUCCAGCCAUGCCGCGUGUGUGAAGAAGGCCUUAUGGUUGUAAAGCACUUUAAGCGAGGAGGAGGCUACUUUAGUUAAUACCUAGAGAUAGUGGACGUUACUCGCAGAAUAAGCACCGGCUAACUCUGUGCCAGCAGCCGCGGUAAUACAGAGGGUGCGAGCGUUAAUCGGAUUUACUGGGCGUAAAGCGUGCGUAGGCGGCUUAUUAAGUCGGAUGUGAAAUCCCCGAGCUUAACUUGGGAAUUGCAUUCGAUACUGGUGAGCUAGAGUAUGGGAGAGGAUGGUAGAAUUCCAGGUGUAGCGGUGAAAUGCGUAGAGAUCUGGAGGAAUACCGAUGGCGAAGGCAGCCAUCUGGCCUAACACUGACGCUGAGGUACGAAAGCAUGGGGAGCAA
rnacentral:rRNA from 1 species